AUUGAACGCUGGCGGCAUGCCUUACACAUGCAAGUCGAACGGCAGCACGGGGCAACCUGGUGGCGAGUGGCGAACGGGUGAGUAAUGCAUCGGAACGUGCCAUUGAGUGGGGGAUAACGUAGCGAAAGUUGCGCUAAUACCGCAUAUUCUGUGAGCAGGAAAGCAGGGGACCGCAAGGCCUUGCGCUCUUUGAGCGGCCGAUGUCAGAUUAGCUAGUUGGUGAGGUAACGGCUUACCAAGGCGACGAUCUGUAGCGGGUCUGAGAGGAUGAUCCGCCACACUGGAACUGAGACCACGGUCCAGACUCCUACGGGAGGCAGCAGUGGGGAAUUUUGGACAAUGGGCGCAAGCCUGAUCCAGCCAUGCCGCGUGAGUGAAGAAGGCC
rnacentral:rRNA from 1 species